rnacentral:rRNA from 1 species
UAGCUAGUUGGUGAGGUAACGGCUCACCAAGGCCACGAUGCAUAGCCGACCUGAGAGGGUGAUCGGCCACACUGGGACUGAGACACGGCCCAGACUCCUACGGGAGGCAGCAGUAGGGAAUCUUCGGCAAUGGACGAAAGUCUGACCGAGCAACGCCGCGUGAGUGAAGAAGGUUUUUGGAUCGUAAAACUCUGUUGUUAGAGAAGAACAAGGAUGAGAGUAGAACGUUCAUCCCUUGACGGUAUCUAACCAGAAAGCCACGGCUAACUACGUGCCAGCAGCCGCGGUAAUACGUAGGUGGCAAGCGUUGUCCGGAUUUAUUGGGCGUAAAGCGAGCGCAGGCGGUUUCUUAAGUCUGAUGUGAAAGCCCCCGGCUCAACCGGGGAGGGUCAUUGGAAACUGGGAGACUUGAGUGCAGAAGAGGAGAGUGGAAUUCCAUGUGUAGCGGUGAAAUGCGUAGAUAUAUGGAGGAACACCAGUGGCGAAGGCGGCUCUCUGGUCUGUAACUGACGCUGAGGCUCGAAAGCGUGGGGAGCGAACAGGAUUAGAUACCCUGGUAGUCCACGCCGUAAACGAUGAGUGCUAAGUGUUGGAGGGUUUCCGCCCUUCA